rnacentral:rRNA from 1 species
GAUGAACGCUGACAGAAUGCUUAACACAUGCAAGUCAACUUGAACUUCGGUUUGGGUGGCGGACGGGUGAGUAACGCGUAAAGAACUUGCCUCACAGCUAGGGACAACAUUUGGAAACGAAUGCUAAUACCUGAUAUUAUGAUUAUAUGGCAUCGUAUAAUUAUGAAAGCUAUAUGCGCUGUGAGAGAGCUUUGCGUCCCAUUAGCUAGUUGGAGAGGUAACAGCUCACCAAGGCGAUGAUGGGUAGCCGGCCUGAGAGGGUGAUCGGCCACAAGGGGACUGAGACACGGCCCUUACGCCUACGGGAGGCAGCAGUGGAGAAUAUUGGACAAUGGACCGAGAGUCUGAUCCAGCAAUUCUGUGUGCACGAUGAAGUUUUUCGGAAUGUAAAGUGCUUUCAGUUGGGAAGAAAAAAAUGACGGUACCAACAGAAGAAGUGACGGCUAAAUACGUG